rnacentral:rRNA from 1 species
AUGCUCCUUGAAAUCCUGGCUAUACUGCGUGAUGAGGACAUCCCAGGUUCACCUCAUUUAUCAUCUUCUCCUGAUGAUAAAUCUCAGCCAUCAAGUGAAGCUUCUACAAAGAAGAUCUAUUUGGGUCCCAUGACAAGGAGCCGUGCCAAACAAAUAGCACAAGAGGUGAACACGCUCCUAGCUUAUCAUAAUUCAAAUGACCAUGAGAACUUUAUACUGCCUAAAUCUCGUGUGCUGAUUUUACUUAGGUACAAUGUUGAGGACAACCAACAACAUUCAGCACAUGAAGAAACAAGUUUUGGAGCCCAUACAACAAGUUUGAAGAGAACAAGUUUCAACUCUGAUGAAAGCCUUGUUUUCGUGACAAGGACAACUAGUUACACCGCAAGGAAGAAUAGCAAGCCAUCUCAACACUCUAUUGUUGCAUUUGUAGUUCCAGAAUUCGUCCCAGAACUUGCUAAAUCAUGCAAGGCAAAUAUAUGA